rnacentral:rRNA from 1 species
UACAGAGGAUGCAAGCGUUAUCCGGAAUGAUUGGGCGUAAAGCGUCUGUAGGUGGCUUUUUAAGUCCGCCGUCAAAUCCCAGGGCUCAACUCUGGACAGGCGGUGGAAACUACCAAGCUGGAGUACGGUAGGGGCAGAGGGAAUUUCCGGUGGAGCGGUGAAAUGCGUAGAUAUCAUUUGGAACGCCAAUGGUGAAAACAGGUAGCUGGGGAUGUGCUGACGCUGAGACACGAAAGCCAGGGGAGCGAACGGG